CGAAAGCCUGACGGAGCAAUACCGCGUGAGGGAGGAAGGCUCUUGGGUUGUAAACCUCUUUUCUGAAGGAAGAACAAAAUGACGGUACUUCAGGAAUCAGCAUCGGCUAACUCCGUGCCAGCAGCCGCGGUAAUACGGAGGAUGCAAGCGUUAUCCGGAAUGAUUGGGCGUAAAGCGUCCGCAGGUGGCAAUUCAAGUCUGCGGUUAAAGGUCGAGGCUCAACCUCGAAAAGGCCGUGGAAACUGAAUAGCUAGAGUGUGGUAGGGGCAGAGGGAAUUCCCAGUGUAGCGGUGAAAUGCGUAGAGAUUGGGAAGAACACCGGUGGCGAAAGCGCUCUGCUAGGCCAAAACUGACACUGAG
rnacentral:rRNA from 1 species